UACGUAGGUGGCAAGCGUUGUCCGGAUUUAUUGGGUUUAAAGGGUGCGUAGGCGGUUCCAUAAGUCAGUGGUGAAAUACAAUAGCUUAACUAUUGAGGUGCCAUUGAUACUGCGGAACUUGAGUACAGACGAGGUAGGCGGAAUUGACGGUGUAGCGGUGAAAUGCUUAGAUAUCGUCAAGAACACCGAUAGCGAAGGCAGCUUACCAGACUGUAACUGACGCUGAGGCACGAAAGUGUGGGAUCAAACAGG
rnacentral:rRNA from 1 species